rnacentral:rRNA from 1 species
GGGAGGAAAAGAAACUAACAAGGAUUUUCUUAGUAGCGGCGAGCGAAAAGAAAAUAGUUCAGCACUAAGUCACUUUGUCUUAAUGGCAAAUGUGAGAUGCAGUGUAUGGAAUGUCAAAUUUCUAGUAUGAGAAAUUAACGAUUUAAGUCCUUCUUAAAUGAGGCCAUUUACCCAAAGAGGGUGCCAGGCCCGUAUAACGUUAAUGAUUACUAGAUGGCAUUUCCAAAGAGUCGUGUUGCUUGAUAGUGCAGCACUAAGUGGGUGGUAAACUCCAUCUAAAACUAAAUAUAACCAUGAGACCGAUAGUAAACAAGUACCGUGAGGGAAAGUUGAAAAGAACUCUGAAUAGAGAGUUAAAUAGUACGUGAAACUGCUUAGAGGUUAAGCCCGAUGAACCUGAAUAUCCGUUAUAGAAAAUUCAUCAUUAUGAUUUUAAUAUUUAUAAUAUUAUAAUAAUGGUGUGCAUUUUUUCUAUAAAGGACAUUGUAAUCUAUUAACAUAAAUAUAUUUAUCAUAAGAUCAAGAGCUUAAGUUUAUUCAAAUUAUUUUGCUUGCAAUUUAACAUAGAAUAAAUGCUUUUGAUUUGAUAAAGUGUUGAUAGAUUUAUUAUAUAUAGUGCUUAAAUAUUUAUAUUUUAUAAUAGCAUAUUAAUCAUUGAUUUUUAUGUUUAUUAUAUGCACUUAUAUGAUUAACAAUGCGAAAGAUUCAGGAUACCUUCGGGACCCGUCUUGAAACACGGACCAAGGAGUCUAACAUAUUUGCAAGUUAUUGGGAAUAAAAACCUAAUAGCGUAAUUAACAUAACUUAUAUAAUGGGAUUAGUUUUUAGCCUAUUUAUAGUCUAUUAAUACAAUCCCGGGGCGUUCUAUCAGUUAUGUAUAAUAAUAUUUAUAUUAUUUAUACCUCUAACUAGAGCGUACCUUGAGCAUAUAUGCUGUGACCCGAAAGAUGGUGAACUAUACUUGAUCAGGUUGAAGUCAGGGGAAACCCUGAUGGAAGACCGAAACAG